rnacentral:rRNA from 1 species
ACGAACGCUGGCGGCGUGCCUAAUACAUGCAAGUCGAGCGGACCGAACAGGAGCUUGCUCUUGUUCGGUUAGCGGCGGACGGGUGAGUAACACGUGGGUAACCUGCCCGUAAGACCGGGAUAACUCCGGGAAACCGGAGCUAAUACCGGAUAACACCGAAGACCGCAUGGUCUUUGGUUGAAAGGCGGCUUCGGCUGCCACUUACGGAUGGGCCCGCGGCGCAUUAGCUAGUUGGUGAGGUAACGGCUCACCAAGGCGACGAUGCGUAGCCGGCCUGAGAGGGUGACCGGCCACACUGGGACUGAGACACGGCCCAGACUCCUACGGGAGGCAGCAGUAGGGAAUCUUCCGCAAUGGACGAAAGUCUGACGGAGCGACGCCGCGUGAGCGAAGAAGGGCUUCGGAUCGUAAAGCUCUGUUGUUAGGGAAGAAGAAGCGUCGUUCGAACAGGGCGGCGCGGUGACGGUACCUAACGAGAAAGCCCCGGCUAACUACGUG